GCCGAUGCACAUGUGUUUCGUAGUUUAAAAAUGUCUGAAUAUUUAACGAAUGUCGUAGAAGUGCCUGGAGGACGCUAACGAAAAAUUCCGCGGAAAAAAUCAACUCGAUACACGGAAGCGAACGCGGGAGUAUUGGAUAUUGUGUGCUCACAUGCUGAGCAGUUAAAUAAGAAGCACUACUGUUCAGUAGCAAUGCUGACACUCUAAGAUUUGGAAGAUUUUCGGAAGCUUUUGUAUCUAAAUAGUACCAAAGAAUCGCAGGAUGCAUUUUUGCUCAAGUAUAUGAAGGUUAGUGCACCAAAGCGGCACCGUGUUGAUCCUGAUACCGUACGAUGUCCCAAAAAUGUAUCCGUUAGGUACGAAAUCAGAAAAACGAGUAGUAAUGAACCACUGCAGAUUUGUGCAAAAUUGUUUCAGUCGAUUACAGGUGUAUCGAGGGACCGGCUUGCACGAAUAGCUCGUCUGUUUUUGGAAACUGGCCAAACACCCAAAGAACAAAGAGGGGGUAACACAACCAAAGAAGAUGAUAGGAAGGUGACUGCAGAUGUGAUUAAUCACAUAAAAAAUAUAAGUAUAGGGAUAGUCAUUAUUGUCGCAAGAAAUGCACCCGAGCUUACCUGCCACCUGAGUUAAAUUUGUCCAAAAUAUACGAACGUUUCUGUGAGGAGCAACAUACUAAAAAAAAAAUAUGCUCCUUGAGUAAAUUUAAAAAAGUUUUCUAUGGGCAAUUUAAUCUUGGAUUUGGCUCUCCUCACAGUGACACUUGUUCAACUUGCAAGGAACUAUUGAUUAAAGUGAAAGUGGAAAAAGAUUUGGAAAAGAGAAAUGAUAUUAGAACCAAGUUAAGAAUCCACAAACUGCGUGCAAAAAGAUUUUUUGAGUUAAUGAAACAAAAAAAUAAAAAUGAAAGUGACAUCACUUUUGAUAUGCAGCAAAACUAACCCAUACCAAAACUAUCCAUAGAGAGGUUUUUUACUUAAGGCAAGUGUGGCUUUAUAAUCUCUGCUUGAUUAUAAUUAAUAAUACUCCAAUAGAUAAAAAUAAAGUAUUGCUGUACACAUGGCUAGAGACACAAGCUGGAAAAAGAGCUAACGAAGUAGCUUCUGCGUUAUUAAAUUAUCUGCAAAUUUUGGAACAAAAAAUAAUUAAAGAGGAAAGAGAAUGGGAACCUAAGGCACUUCGUCUUUUCUCUGAUUCUUGUGCGGCGCAAAAUAAGAACUCGAUACUGAUAGCAGCUUUAUAUAGAUUUCUUGAAAAAUCGAAAGUUUUUUUCAAAAUACAGCAAAUUUAUCCCAUUCGCGGUCACAGCUACAUGCCCCCAGAUAGGGUUUUUGGGAGAAUAGAAAGAGAAUUUCGUAAGCUCGAAAGCAUAGAAAUACUUGCUCAAUAUUAUGACGUACUAAGUAAACAUGGAUACGUAAAGAAGUGGGGGAAGCAUUGGAAAACUUAUGAUUAUAAAACUGAGUCUAAAAAGCUAAUAAAACCCAAACUUUUAAUAUGACACAAUGUAGAAUAAUAGAAUACCGCAAAGAAGGAGGAAAGGUAAAUGUGAACGUUAAAUCCGCAUAUACUGGAUGUGCUACAGAAGUAGAAAUAUUUAAAAAAGGGGUGAAGACCUUAAAGUUAUUAGACAAAGCAUUGAAGAUUCUAAAGACAAAUCAUGUUAUAGAGGUAAAGAUAGCAGAUAUACGUAAAAUAAUGAAGUACGUUGGAAAUGCUAAAGACGAUUUUUACAAGGAGCUUCUCGGGACAACUAAUGAAAACCUUACCGAGGAUGACCACUUGCUAGAGGGUGAGAAUCAAGACGAAAUCCAAAAUGAAUAAGAAAAAUUUUUUUAAUAAUAAAUAUUUUCAGUUUUGAAUUAAGGAUUAAAAUAUGAUUAUUUGUUUGAAUAAAAUUGGAGAAAGUAAGUUUUGGCAUGUUUAAUUGUUUAAAAAAACAAUUGUAUGUUACAUAAUCAAACAUAAUUAAAAAGGCUAUAUAAUCAAAAAAUAACGUUUCCUGUAAAAUUUGAAAUUUGGACAAAACGAGUUUUGAAAAAACGGUCCUCAAUUGGAUAGUCAUAUAUUA